GGACUCCAGGGGCCUGGAACAGGUGUCUUCCCAUCCCCUGCCCCGGACACCUCUGGAAGUGGGAUCCUCCCAGUCUCUUGCUCUCCCAGCCCCCCAUGCACCCCUACUCCGAGCCCCUCCGCAGGAAGUGGAGUCUGAUUGCUGCGGCUCCCCUGCUGUGGAGGCUGCAGGGGAAAUGCCCCGUUUGAGGCUCCCCACCCCGGUCUCACCCCCAUGUGCCAUGGGACCAUCCCUGCCCCUCCUGCAGCCUAUCAGCCCUGUCUGUGAAGCAGGGAUGGCAGUACCUGCAUCAGAGGGUAUUGGGGCAGCAUGACUCUAUGUGUGCACCCCUCAGGCCCAUGCCUGGCUACUAGAAAAUGCCCCUAAUAUAAUACCUGUGGUUGUGAUAGUGCUACAAUCAUUCUCAAGAUGUUCCUGGAGUUUAAAAAAAAAAAGUGCUAGGAGAUCUAGUACACUUGUGAGAUAUGGACUGUUUUUUUUUUACCUUGAGCUUCCUGGCAACAAAAGCAAAAAGGAAAAAAAAGAGGAUCACUCACUAGAUUCAUAAUCCUCUUAGAAGGAAAAUACAGAUUUUCCUGUCAUGAAACCCAAGGGAUCGUCCUCCCAGGAGCCCUCAUAAAGGGUUCCCUGUAUGAUGUGCUGAGCAGCACCCUCAGGGCUCCUGUGGUCUGGUUUGAUCUAAAGACUAGUAUCUGGAGCAGGACCUCAGGCUCUCUCAAGUGCAAGGGUGAUGGAGCGGGGCAUCCUCAGGUGAUCUGCAGGGGGGACCAUAACCUUGAAAUGACUGAAGUUUCAUGUGUCAUCUUCAAAAUCCAUGAGGAUGUCACCUCAGGCUGUAACUGAGCCAUUUGUAUUUAACUAUAAAAAUAAUGUUUUCCCUCCUCCACUCCAAAUCUUUGGGUACCACAGAUGCUCCACAUGGAUGGGCCAUGUGCUCAUUCCUCGGCUUGGCCUGAAGGUGGGGUCCUGGCCUUUUCUGAGGAGCCCAUGAAAGCCACACCCUUCCCCCCAGCAAAUGGCACAUUCACCUUCAGGAGCUAAGCAGACAGUGUCAGGGUUUCACAGAUCCUGAACUCCAGGCCCUUGGCAGGCUCUGAUCUGGGGUGACGGGGGGAGUUACAGACCUUCUGGCCCAAGGUCAUGAGUGUUGUUUCUCCCACUGGGCUCUUGUUAGACAUGAACCGCAGAAAGCGCCACUUGCUCUAGAAGUUGUCUAUUCUGUGCAAAGCCAGAUGUUUUCACUGUGACCCAGACAGGAGUGGAGUUGGUGCCUAACACCCUCGUGGACCCACCAGGCACUCGAGUCCAUGGGGGUUUUUAUGCCAACUGCGAAACGCCAGGGGAGGACAGGGAAAUCAAUGCUCAGACUGCAUACGAUGCUCCAUGCUCCCAGGUCCCAUCUCCUUGGAUGCCCGGAUGGGUACUCAGUAAGCUAGGACCUGGCUUUUAUAACAUCUAGUUCUAUUCUUGUCUUCUUUUGUGUCUUUGGUUAUGUUAAACAAAUUCAUUUUACAGUCUCUUCUUUCCUUUAGUUUCUUGGCAGAAGUUCUAGGAAUUUCAUCCUGACAUGUGUCGUGUUUGCUCUCCUUCCCUCAUGGUGGCCUGUUUCCUUGUGCUGUGUCAUUUGAGAUCCUGAGUUUAUUUCCAGUCAGUCUUUAUCUGGGGCAACCCCCGAGGUCCAGCUUGUGCACCUGCUUCUCCAGAGCAUCUUCACGGUGGCUCUGCCUGGUGGCCUGGGGCUGUCACUGCCUGGGGCUGCUUUUAAGGUCACUGGCUUGGGCUCUCCACCAGCCUAUCCCAGCCUCCUCUGAGGACAGACCCACAGCUAUAGGUUCUCGGGAGAUGUGCGGGCUUUUUGGUCAGAGACAGUUUUCUUGUCAUCUCCCUUUGUCAGUGGGCAGACCUUUCUUUGGCUCCCCAUUUAUUAGGCGUGCAGUGCCUCGAGACCUUGGCUUUCUGCAGAGAGCUCCGUUGCAUCUCCCAUCAUCCUGUGUGUGUUGCCGAAACUCAGCCUCUGCCCCCUGGUGCCGAAUAGAAACCCAGAGACAGAGUUUGGAAGAAGGAGGGGAAAAAAAAAAAAAAGGUUUUAUUGCCUUGCCAGGCAAAAGAGGCCACAGCAGGCUGAUGCCCUAAAGACUGUGCACUCCUUUGGAGGAGAAUGGGAAGAGGUUUUAUAGUCUGGGAGUGGGAAAUAGGGCUGCAGAUAAGGGCCAGGGUGGAUGCAAAGCUUGUAUUCUUCAAAUCGGGUGUUUAGUGGCCCCAGGACUGGUCCUGGUGGUCGGAAAAUGGAGAAGACUUCCCCAAGCAGUUGCCUUCUUCCAUUUGCGGGGGGUUUAGUUCUGCACAAGAGCUCAAAGACAAUGUCCUGUGUAUCCUCCGAGGAGGAACCAGGACCUGCCCAGGCUGCACAGUUGGUUCUUGUCGGCUCCUCCCUGGUCUCUGCAUCCCUCCCUUCCCUGAUUAGCAGCUGUUUGAGCCUGCCCCUUGCUACUCUAGGAAGGUCAGGGAAGCAGAAGCCUGUUCCCAACAGGCCAGAAAUGGGGACACAGAAAGGCUUUUGUUCCCAGGAGCCCCCAAGGGCCCUGCUCGGUUUUGCUGGUGUCUUAUCUCCCUACUGCUGGUUUUAACCUGUGUCUCAGCACCCCCUUCCUACCCCACAAGGCAGCCCAACUGAAACCAACAACAUCUCUGACUUGACCCAAACCCAGAGCAAGUUUCGGACGUGAGCCCACGGCUUUUUAAUUAGAAUCCCUCACCUGGUGCCUGGACUUAACUGAGGCUCAGGUUCUUUGUGCCUCAGCGCAGAAGGAAUUCAGCGAGAGCCAACGUGAGAGGCCAGAAGUCGAUUUACUGAGAUGGGAUACUUGCGAGGGAUACAAGCAGGCAAGCAAGGAGGCUCUGCCCCGAGGAUGAGGUGGGGCUAGAUUUUUAUAAUCCAAGGAAAGUGGGGGCGGGGAAGAGACCAUCUUCUUCCUUGUUCUUUGAGCAGAGGUCGGGCUGACAUCAUUAGCUCCUCCUUCGUAUCCGAAAAGAGGGUAUUUGACCCUGUGAGGUCGAACAAGGACUGCCCUGGUGCUUGGUCAGAUCAGCCGAAGGGAGGUAACAGAGGCUAAAACAUGUUGAAUCAUCUCCGGUUUCCGUGUCAGGAGGGUCUCCUCCUUUGGAAGGUCGUUUUUCCCUUAAACGCCUCUCCUUGGUCCUAAGGGUCGUUCUCUUGCUGAACUUGAACUGCAGCCUCCUUUUAUCUUUCACGUAAUGACCUGAGGCGUAGCUCGUGCUUUUAUUUCUGGUUUUAUAGUUAAGCAGGGCUGCUUCACUCCAAUCUGUCCUGGUGGCUUUCUUGAAUGAUUAUUAACUUACAGUCAUCUCCCAGAGUUCCCUAGGUUUCCCUCUCUAUCCCUGGUCCCCGCCUGGGACUUGCACAACCCCCUGUGUAACUACCCUCCUCCAUCCCCGUCAGAACCACUGGGGUUUUAGUUCAUGGUAUUUUCCUGUGACGUCACUCUUACACUAAUUACAGUAGAGCUGGGAGAAUGUGACAGUCAAGAAUACAAACUCUGGAUUCAGACCUGGGCUUGAAUCCCAGCCCCGCCAGCAUGGGAUGGGCUGUUUCUCCAUCUGUGAAAAGGCAACAGCAGUCGUUGGGGUUGCGGCCCGAGUGCCGGAGAGUGUUGACCAAAAGCAAUAAAGUAAAAAAAAUGGGUUUAUUCGGGAACAACAAAGAUCACAACUCAGGCCAGGCAAUCUCUGGCGAACCACAGGCAAGGCCAGAGAACCAUCCUUUUAUAGAGGAGAAGGGGAGUUGGGAGGGGCUGUUAUAAACAAAGAGUCCAUUGGCGGAAACGGGGAGCUCAGAGUGUAGUGGCUUUUCAUUGAGUUGAUUUCCAAUGUUGUGUUAAUUUCUGCUGUACAGCGAAGUGAUUCAGUUAUACAUGUAUAUAUCUGCUUUUUAUAUACUUUUCCAUUAUGGUUUAUCACAGGAUGUUGAAUAGCUCCCCGUGCUACACAUAGGAUUUGUGGUUUAUCCAUUCUCUAUAUAAUAGUUUGCAUCUGCUAAUCCCAAACUCCCAAUCCAUCCCUCCCCAACCCACCUCCCCCUUGGCAACCACAAGUCUCUUCUCUAUGGCUAUGCUGAUUCCAUUUAAUUAAUUAAUUUAUUUAUUUGUUUUUGGCCCCAUCCACCCAUGGCAUGUGAAAGUUCCAAGGCCAGGGAUCGAACCCACACCAUAGAAGUGACCCAAGCCGCUGCAGUGACAACACUGGAUCCUUAACCACUGCUCCACAAGGGAAUGCCCCUAACUCCAUUUCAUUAUUUUUUUAUUUUUUUCUUUGCUUUUUAGGGCCACACCCACGGCAUAUGGAGGUUCCCAGGCUAGGGGUCAAAUGGGAGCUAUCGCUGCCGGCCUACACCACAGCCACAGCAACAUCAGAUCCGAGCCAAGUCUGCGACCUACACCGCAGCUCAUGGCCACACUGGAUCCUUAACCCACUGAGUGAGGCCAGGGAUCAAACCUGCGUCCUCACGGAUCCCAGUCAGAUUCGUUAACCACUGAGCUGUGACGGGAAUGCCCCCUAACUCCAUUUUAAACAAAUUUUCUGUUUAUUCGUUUUCCCAAGGGCGUGAUAGAUUCAGGCACUGAGAACACCGCUUCGUUUGGAAUGACUGCAUGUUGCAGGCAUUACGCUGGCUUUCAGUAAAAUUAAUGUUCAAUAGGAUGCAAGUACAGUCAUAGAUUAGCUUAAUGAUACAUUAUCAUUCCGGCCCCUGGUGAUGCGCCUCACGUUCUUACAGGCUCGGUUCUGCAUUGAGAAGUUGCGUGUCCGUCCUUUAUCCGGCAUUUCUAGGAAAGAGGUAGCAAAGAGCGUUCAGCUUGUCCAGUUCUCGCAUCGUCCAGCCUCUUGACCUUUAAGUGCUGAUGGCAGGAUGAUAAGGACGCUCUCCGUGUCUUGCUGCCUCUUCCCCAGCACAUCCAGAGCCUGCAUGUACCUGCCUCCAAUUCUCCUCCUAAGUCACAGGCCAUCUUUGGAGUCUGGUGGAAUCCGGCUCGGUCACAUACCUACCAGCUCUGACUCAUUUGUGCCAGUUCUUCUCCCUUAUCUGACUGAUGCCCUCAGGGCCCGAUAUGACUUUGGAAUUCCUUUUUUUUUUUUUUUUGUCUUUUUGGGGCUGACCCAUGGCACAUGGAAGUUUCCAGGUCAGGGGUUGAAUUGGAGCUGCAGCUAUAACCAUGGCAACACGGGGUCUGAGCAGUGCUGGAUCCUCAACCCGCCCGCUGAGGGAGGCCAGGGACCACACGUGCAUCCUCGUGGACCUAGUUGGGUUCGUUCCCACUGAGCCACCACGGGAACUCGUGGAAUUCCUAUUAUUUUUGAGUGAUAACGCAGUCUGUCGCUACCCUGUGGGAAGGAUUGGGGCAGCAUCCUGGGGACAGAGAGUGCACUAGAGCGCCUCUCGCUGGGUGGACAGAGACUCACAGUAGCCUCCCUUCUGGUCAGAACAGCUUUUGGAGCCAAAUGAGCCCUGAAAUCUGAGUUUUCAGAGCUUUUUGCGUUUCCGAAUUGAGGGUGGGGUCUUACAUGGGGGGGGGUUGACUUUGACCCCCACUCCAGCAAGGACAAGUGGAGAUUUAUAGCCAAGGAACAACAACAG
ensembl:lncRNA